CUGAGACCAUUAUGUGCAUCCCUGAGCUGGAAGUUGAGCCUAUCCUGUGGGAGGUGAAAACACUGCACAGCACAGCCCUCUGAAUAUGACAUGCUGAAGUGAAGACACCAAAGGAUGUUCUCUGCCACCCAUAGAUCUGUUUGAGUUGCAAGCUUUCUUGACACGACUUCAUCACCUAGUACUCACAUGGCUCCAGGAAAAGAGGCUCGAAGCUCAGCACACCCCUUUCCUUGCAGGGUUACUGUGGCUGGGAAGGUCGGUGAGGAUUUCAUCUGCCACCAGAGAGCACUGUAACUAUACGCUCCAGCCAGCCGGCCCAAUUUCCAGACCUGAAGGACUUGAGUGUAUUUUCUACUUAUUCCCACACCAAUAUAGCUUCACUUACAUCCUUCAAACAGCAUGGCUGGCAGCAAAGCUACCAAUGCUUUGA
rnacentral:lncRNA from 1 species